AAUCUUAGACAAUGGGGGCAACCCUGAUCUAGCCAUGCCGCGUGAGUGACGAAGGCCCCAGGGUCGUAAAGCUCUUUCGCUGGGGAAGAUAAUGACUGUACCCAGUAAAGAAGUCCCGGCUAACUCCGUGCCAGCAGCCGCGGUAAUACGGAGGGGACUAGCGUUGUUCGGAAUUACUGGGCGUAAAGCGCACGUAGGCGGACAUUUAAGUCAGAGGUGAAAUCCCAGGGCUCAACCUUGGAACUGCCUUUGAUACUGGGUGUCUUGAGUUCGAGAGAGGUGAGUGGAAUUCCGAGUGUAGAGGUGAAAUUCGUAGAUAUUCGGAGGAACACCAGUGGCGAAGGCGGCUCACUGGCUCGAUACUGACGCUGAGGUGCGAAAGCGUGGGGAGCAAACAGG
rnacentral:rRNA from 1 species